GACGAACGCUGGCGGCGUGCUUAACACAUGCAAGUCGAGCGGUAAGGCUCCUUCGGGAGUACACGAGCGGCGAACGGGUGAGUAACACGCGAGUAACCUGCCCCAUUCUUUGGAAUAACCAGUGGAAACGCUGGCUAAUGCCGAAUAUGACCAUCGAAGGCAUCUUCUGGUGGUGGAAAGCUCCGGCGGAGUGGGAUGGACUCGCGGCCUAUCAGCUUGUUGGUGAGGUAACGGCUCACCAAGGCGACGACGGGUAGCCGGUCUGAGAGGGUGACCGGCCACACUGGGACUGAGACACGGCCCAGACUCCUACGGGAGGCAGCAGUGGGGAAUAUUGGACAAUGGGCGAAAGCCUGAUCCAGCAACGCCGCGUGAGGGAUGACGGCCUUCGGGUUGUAAACCUCUUUCAGCAGGGACGAAGCGAAAGUGACGGUACCUGCAGAAGAAGGACCGGCCAACUACGUGCCAGCCGCCGCCGUAACAC
rnacentral:rRNA from 1 species